UACAGAGGUCUCAAGCGUUGUUCGGAUUCAUGGGGCGUAAAGGGUGCGUAGGCGGCGCCGUAAGUCAGGUGUGAAAUUUCGGAGCUUAACUCCGAAACUGCAUUUGAUACUGCGGUGCUUGAGGACUGGAGAGGAGACUGGAAUUUACGGUGUAGCAGUGAAAUGCGUAGAGAUCGUAAGGAAGACCAGUGGCGAAGGCGGGUCUCUGGACAGUUCCUGACGCUGAGGCACGAAGGCCAGGGGAGCAAACAGG
rnacentral:rRNA from 1 species